rnacentral:rRNA from 1 species
UACGUAGGAUGCAAGCGUUGUCCGGAAUUAUUGGGCGUAAAGAGCGAGCAGGCGGUUUGGAAAGUUGGACGUGAAAUUUUAGGGCUUAACCCUAAAGGGUCGUCCAAAACUCCCAGACUAGAGUGCAGGAGAGGAAAGCGGAAUUCCCGGUGUAGUGGUGAAAUGCGUAGAUAUCGGGAGGAACACCAGAGGCGAAGGCGGCUUCUGGCCUGUAACUGACGCUGAGGCGCGAAGGCUGGGGCAGCGAACGAGG